rnacentral:tRNA from 1 species
GCAGUGAUGGUUCAGUGGUAGAAUUCUUACCUUCCACGUGGUCAACCCAGGUUUGAUUCCUGCUCGAUGCA